GCGGAGGGCGGCAUUCUUGGGACGUUCCACUUGCUGAAGGGGGCGCAGUGAGGAAGCGGCGCCUGGCCACGAACGGCCACCAGUCCGCUCGCCCUAGAACCCCGUCAUGGUAUGUCUUCUUCAUGGUGACUCUGGCGGAUGCCGAUCUCAACUUUCAAGAUCUUUUCUUCCAGCCAGGAGCACCCAGAGCCACAAGGUAAACUAACAUUGACAGCCACUCUAGCCCAACUCAGAGAACUCGUUAGCCUGGGAGGUUUGCCCCUCUAUCUCUCUGUGAGUUACCGCGUUCAAGGCUUGGCCCGCUUCCGUUUAGGGGGGGAAAGCCCUCUCCCGGAUUCCCUCAGACAGUCCUGCCUUUGGGCAGUCUUUUGUGCCUCCAAACCCCUAAUCCGCCCUCAUUCUCUUUCC
ensembl:processed_transcript